ACCAACAUCCGCUACAACCACCAUUCGUCCUGUACCAACAUCUGCAACAACCACCAUUCGUCCUGACACGAAGCCCUCCCCUCCAACCGAUUUCUACUGCACCGAGCACUCGGCCUCCAGCGUUAAGAUACAGUGGACCUACAAUGACACACGUACAGGGGGGUCGAGGUUCGUUCUCUUCCACCGUCACCAAGACUCAACCGUGUGGAAUGUUAGUCGUUUAGUGGCAGACCAAGACAAGUCCCAAACACGACAGACAUUCGUUGUCACGCA